CUGAAAAGAGAUACAUACAAUCUGGAUUUUACUAAACCAUUUUCGCAAUUCAAUGGAUGAGUUGCAAGCUGAAGCUUGAAUAAUUGUUGUUGUGAUGAGUUGAUGAGCUGCGAAUGCCCAACGCUACCACAAUAUAAGAUGAAUCAACUUGUGACAACUACCGCAACAUCAAUUAAUGUACAUUUUUGCUAUCGUCGAUAGAGAUUCAUCGUUCACAACUCGUCUAACUUUUGCCUUGUGCCGGGCAUCAGUUGUAUGAAAUGCUUCCCGCAGAUCUUUUAAAAUUCUCAAUUUUACGGCAUUCAAUGUUCCCUGCGCUCGAAAUGCACCCACCACAUUCGAAUACGACUCCAAUUCUGCAAUGAAACACAGCAACAAUUUCAAUUCCAAUGUUAUCCAUAUACCCAAUGUGUCGACUCGUUUUCGACAUUUUACUUACCCAAACGCCUAAGCGCACCUGGACGCGUUAAUUCCAAUAGUUUGGGCCACAUUCUAUUUGAGGCUUAGAGAUGACCUCAUGUAUUGUGUCCACAGCUGUUUGCUAAAUUAAUUGCGAGCACCACGUUUAAACUUGAAUCAAACCACUGAACUAUUUAUUUAUUUUCUAUCGUGAACUGAAUAUUGAUCAUGCACAAUCAAUUUCAACAAUUAAACUCUGUAGCUAAUUUAAAAAUGCCAUUUAAAUCGUUGUUUGCAUAUUGGAAAUGCUCAGGUUUUCUUUGCAUUUGAAUCAAUCCGUUUUAUAUGAAUAAAUUGAUUGCAUUCAGCUUGAGAUGUUGAAUGAAAGAUACCGAAAAAAGGGUUGAUUGACGAAUAUUGUUUCUUUCACAUUCAGUUAAUUUGAAAUGUUUCAAUUUAGAAUUCGUUGACAGAUUGAACCGUGCAUUGACUAAUGUCAUGCAUUGCGACGGCGUCUCAUAUUCAUUCGAUAGACAUUUAACCAUCCACUGAACGAACAAUGAUUUUAUUUUGUCAAUUAUGGAAAACCAGGAGUAAUUUGAUUGCAUGAACUGUAAAAUAUUAGAAAAAAAUAUUCAGAUUUCUUUCGGAAUUCGCCGAUUUCCGAAUAUACCAUAUUUAUGUUGUGUUCACAACGCACCAACGCUAACAAAUUUGUCUGAGUAUUAAUCUGGAAUUUUUUUGCCUUGUUUUAAAAAUGGCAAGUGAUAAUGAGAACAUAAUAAACAACACACCAAAUCGUUCCAGAAACCGCAAAACGGAGACUAGUGAUAGUGAUGCGGGAAAUUUAUCUAAGAGGAGAAAAAAGCUAUCAUCUCCUACGGCCGUUAGUCAAUAUACAUUUGAGAAAGUCUUAAUUGAAUUGUGCAAACGUUGCCGUUCAUUUUGGUUAAAUCCACCACAAAGUGUAGUCAUCCAAAAAGUGAUCAAAAUUCUAGAUUUGGCGAUCAAGACGCUCGAAAAUGCGAAGUAUUUUAUGGUAAACAGACCUAGGAAGCUUAAUCUAAUCUUGUUCUUGUUUUUAUUAGGACAUUGGUAAACAGCCAAAAGGAGAUUAUGAAAAAAAAAGAUUGGAAAUAAAGAAAGAAGUAAACUACCAAAGACAGCGCCGGCACGACAAGUUGAAGAGGAUGAAAAACACAAGGUGAAUUAUGGAAAAUGUUCGCUCGAUGUAUUGCUCGAUCAUCUCUUCGAUUCUGCCGGUGACUUAGCAUCUCAAUUCCAUAGACACUCAUGUGAAGCAGUGGUAUCGGUGUUGCCGAAACUUGAAUCCGAUGAAUUAAAAUGCAUCGGCUACAUAGCGAGAUUAAAUCAAAUAAAGGAUGAUUUGCCAUCUUCGAAUGAAACUACUGCUGGUGCUUCGAAGGAAAAUCACGUGACUACCAGCGAUCUACAUAACUCGGUGUCCGGUAAUCAAUUGUCUGACCAACAAAAUUCCGGAAGUAGUUUGCCAACAACGAGCUCAUCCAGUUUAUUCGCAACACCCGAAGCAGCUAUUUCAAAUCAGCAAACAAUGCGGUAUCGCCUAGAUAUAUCCAUUAGAUAUUUCUGCUAGACGGCAUAUUUUGUUGCGUUUGAACAAACGCUUCGUUACACAGCGACGGUGUCGCGCGCGACAUACAUAGAACAGAGCGCAUUUGAGGAGGCGUUGCAAAUACAAAUACAUGAGCGAUCAAGUCUUUGAACACAUACGAACAGCGGGCACACAAAUGGUAGCGUAUUCAAAUGCGCUCUGUUCUGUGUUUGUCACGCGCGAGACCGUCACUGUGUAACGAAGCGUUUGUUCAAACGCAACAAAAUAUGCCGUCUAGCAGAAAUAUCCAAUGGAUAUAUCUAGGCGAUACCGCAUUGUUUGCAAAUCAGCAAGCAUUAGGAGGUCAAGCCAACGAUCAAUGGCAACAGUUAAAGUAAAAAACCAACAGAACAUGAAUAUGAUGCCCCAACAACCAUCGCAAACACAUCAAAAUCCAUAUCAGACCAAUGCAUAUCAGGCACCUCAACCGAAAUUCGUGUCAAAUGUAUCAGCACACACACAUUCCCAUUCGGUCUAUCUCCCGAACGAACAUUCAGAUGAGAAUAGAGAGCGUUCAACUUCAGAAAUGACCAACCAGCUGGUCAGCUGUUAUUUUCAAUCAUUCAUUCAUUCAUCAACACUUCUUUUCUAUUUUAAUUUCGGCAACUGAUCAAUCAAACGUGUUUUAUUCCGGUCACCAAAUAUCAGGAACAACGUCUGAUGAUGCAUCAGUCGAUACACCUCUGAUCACGGACCAUGUAACCACUCAUCCGCCUGAACAUACAGCGCCCGUCGAUGGUCAAUUAUCUGCAAUUACUGGUUGGAAUCUUGAUCAGAAUUUCGGCCCAUUUUAAUAAUUAGUUCAAUAAGCCAUGACCGAUUAUAUUCAAAUAAAAAAAAAAUUUCUCUCUAAUUUUUAUUACAUCCGCAUAGAAUAACUGAAUAUGAAACUCAUUUUGGGCAGCAUUUUCAUGAUGAUGAUUCCCUUUUACUUUGGUUCAUUUUACAUAAUUGAAAAGAACGAUGAAAUUCAACUGAAACUAAAUGAAAAUGAACGGAUUUCGUAAUGUGCAUGCUCCAUUCUGGAAAACAAACGUGAAAAACUCAAUGAAUUUAUGCAAUAAAAGAAAAGUGGUUUUAGAUUUAGCGGAAAUUGUUGCGUUUUUUCUUCUUUUUGUUCUCAAUUUCCCUUUACAUGCCGAGCAGAGAGGACGAAGAGAAGUAACUUUCAACAGUUUAACAUGUAACGCAUCAAAAUGUGAACAAAUUCAAUCCAUAUGAACAUAUGGUGAAUUUGAUAAUUACAAUAGACUCUCGGAAAACGCAAUUGUUCAGAAAAAUCA